rnacentral:lncRNA from 1 species
UGCUUCAGGUUUGUCCUCUAGAUUACCACAAAGUAUACACAGUAGUAAACACACGGUGCUGCCAGUCCACACUGUAUUUGAGAUGGAUUUUUUUUUUUUUUUUUAUAUACUGGUAUCCCUGCUACCGGAUCUGUAAUCUUCAUUACACAUUCUGUGCUUCGCCGGGCUACGCGUGCCUACGCGUCAGUUUUUUGUAUAACGAAACAAACAGUUCAAAGAUUACUUUCCUUUGUUAGUGUUAGAAAAGGGAAAACAAACUCCUUUAUCUGAAGAAUACGAUAAUAUAGCAAGAAAAAUUAAGAAAUUGGGUAAGAUACUGACGCGCGCACGACACAAAGAAAGGUCGUCCUAGUCUCCAAGAAGAUUGUCCACCUCAUCAACAGUGUCAUCAGAAUCGAAAAACUCAUCAAGUCAUCGCCCGCUUCAUUGUCCGCAUUGCAGGACACAUUAAACAUUGAAGAAUUACAGGUUAAAAGUUACUCGGAGGACGCCUGCCUACAAGAAUCACCACGCCAACUCUGACGUGACGACAGUUUGAACUGUCGUCACAUGGUCGUCACGUCCGUCGCGACAUCGCGAUCGAAAGUCGAAACCACCGACAGACAGGGUAAGAUAUGCCGGCAGGCCUUCAAACUUUUAUGAUUAGUGGUCAGUGAUGCUACUAUAAUGUCAUAGAUAAAAGGGUACCUAAAAGAUGCCUCUUUUGAGUCAACGACUUUUAUUGUUCCUUCGGUACAUUCGAGUUCACCAAAACAGAGAAACGUUCCUGUAAGGCGAAUACUUCCAUGUCGGAAAAUAUCGAUAUUCGAACGUCCUAUCCAUGAUCUUACAUGUAAUAGGCGCUAUGACGGAAUGCAAACUUUGCUUAGAUCAACUUUUAAUUCCUUCAUUUCAUUCAGAUUCAUACUAAACUUCAAAUAACUGACCAGAUUUAUUGACACUUCUUAUGUUCAUCUUAAGAUUUAUAAACAGCACUAAAGUUUUUAAAACUGUUUUAUGAGUCCUCUAGACCUGAGGGAUGCUUAAUUUUUGAUUAGCAUUAAUCAUAAUAAUAAAAACAUAUACACAUGUAUAUUCGUUUUAAAUUUGGAGAAAACCUAAUAAUUUAAUGUAUUUUGGCCGUAUUACUGCGUCCGUUGUCUGGAUCAAAAUAAUGAAAGCAGUGACCAAUUUACUGAGAUCAAGUAGUCACAAUAUAUUUUGAUGAUAUUUUAUUAUAUCUAAUAAUAGCUUAUACUCCCAAAAGGCCUUGGGGAUUAUUAUCAGUACUGUUCAUCUAUGCUUAUAAUAAAUCUGUUGAGACGUCAACUUAAUAAUGUUCGUAAGUUCCUUGGUUUCAUAAUCAAUUCUCAGAACAGAACUACAAAUCACUUUACCUGAGGGAAAGAUUUUCAAAAUUAAAAAGGAAGUCAAUAAAUUGCAAAUAUUAACUGUAUUAUAGCUGUAAGGCCAUAUCAUUCGCUUGUUUAUUGGGGUUACUUACCUUAGAAUACCCGCCGUCCGAUACGGAUGACUCUAAACAAACGAAAAAAUGGAAAUAUGACAAUAUUUGAAAGAUUACAAAUAGAACAAAUAUUUGACCAUCAUCAUUAUUAACUAGUAUUUAAUGGUUAAUGAUAUUCAUCAAACUGAGUUUUGUAUAGAAAUCUAUAGCGAUGCCUCAACUACGGGUUGGGGAGCGGCCUGUGGAGAGGAACGUGCUAGUGUUAUGUGGUCGGACACAAUUACAGAUCCGGUAGCAGGGAUACCAGUAU